CCAGGAACACCUUCAGGAGCUUAAAUACAAUCUGGAAAUCAUCAAAAUACAACACCAAAACCAAACUCAAGAUUUAACAGAGCUGAGUAUUUUCAACAUGACUUUAUAGUGCCAAAUGCAGGGGAAUGAGAAAGUCUGACAUGUCCAAACUGUCUGCCUUCCAUACAGCCUGGCUCAGAAAAAUCCUGUGCAUCUUUUGGCCCAGAACAAUCUCAAACCAAGAUCUGUUGAUACAGUGCAGCCAAGAGGAUCUGUGUACCAUCAUUGCCGGGAGGUGCUGGAGAUAGAUUGUCCAUAACAGCAAUAAGAUGGACACCUAAAGGCAAGCGAAAACGAAGCUGCCCAUAAACAUGUCAAAGAGCUGUGGAAGUCGAGCUGAAAAACCUGGGGCACAGCUUGGGAACCAGCCAAAGACUUGCCAGAAACAGACAGGAGUGGAGGAGCUUCCUUUGGAGCCAUUCCAUGCCUAUGGGUCCCAAUCUGGCUGCCUUGUUGGACAAGAAGCACUUCCAUGCUGGCAAAUGAUGGUAGCCAAUGAGGGAAUGUAUCCGAUUCCAAGUUCAGACUGCAGGAUACAUGAAUGCUGAGGCCAGAGUCUCUGGUUUUGUUUCUUCAUUUUGUUCUAGUCUAAUGUAUCACUUCUCCUCCUGCUGCUACUUCGAAGGAUUAGAAAGUGUGAAAAUAGAGCACAGGUGGUUUUUCUCAUGAUGCAGCCUUCCCACGUUGUGUGAGACCCCUUCCACCCUCACUCAUGGGAGAAGCCCCAGGGAGAAAUGAACUCUCAGAAAUGGAAGGCUCCUAGGUUAUGGUAGAAUGUGACUUCACACAAAGCUCACUGGGUGGAAACAGCCCUAUAGAUUAAUGUUUUGUCAUCUUAAAUUUUUACCGGUGAAAAUGGAAUUAAACAUGAAGUAAAUUAGUGUAAAAUAAGAGACUGACUAUGUGAUAACCUGAAUUAUAUUAUAAACCUCAAAGUUUUCUUCUUCUCUCCCUGCCCCCUCCUACUAUACAGGAAAUGGAGGCUAAUCCUGAAAUUAAACCCUCACUCCAAAGGAAUUAGAGUGGGGGAAUAUGUGAGAGAAAUAGCAUGUGUGAGAAUAGAGACCCAGGAUAGACUGUAAUUAUUUCUAUUUCAAAUGGAAUUUAUUUUGAUAAGCUUUAAAAUAAAUCUUCUGUUAAGAGGAAAGUUAUCUGAGCCAAGAUGUGUAACUUUUUAUUCAGUUGGUAUAACAGUCA